rnacentral:lncRNA from 1 species
UUUUUUUUUUUUUUUAUAUCAGGAAUAUCAAGAAGAUGCUAAGUGGGUUUGUAACAAUUGACAAGAACAUCUUUAGUAUAGAGAUGGUUGUGCCUUUGUCAGAUUAUUUCUCUUAGAAGAAAGAUGGAGGAGUGCCUGGGUUGCUCAGUCAGUUAAGCCUCUAAUAUUAGGGUGCUGGGAUCAAGCCCCAGGUGGGGCUCUGCACUCAGUGCAUUGCUUGUCCCUCUGCCCCCCCGCCCUCACCACUAGUGUGUGUGCACAUGCGCUCUCUCUCUUUCUCAAAUAAAUUUAAAAAAAGAGAGAGAGAUGGAAAAAUGCUCAGAUUCCUUAGCAACAGGAAGCCAGCAAUCCUCCUGACAGUACUCAGCUCCAUCCAUCUACAGGGCUCCUUGGAGGAAUGUCUUUUGCAAAAUUUUUUUUUAAAGAAAAAUAGGAGAUUCUCCUGGACAAACCUUUAGCUCUUCAGAGUAAAUUGACCCCCAUAUGGCCGUUGAAUCAAAUACCAUAUCCUCCUUUGGAAGCACAUCUGAUAUUUUCAGUAUUUUCAACUUCUUGAUCAAUCUAUCUAUUCAAUAUCACUUGAGAUCCCACUUCCUGAAAGGGGGCCUUGGUUGCAAUUAUGUCUUCUAAUCUACCCAUAUUUUCUUUGUCUAUGUAAUACGUAAAAUGUCUAUGUAAUUUUGUAUUUAGGAAAAUGUUUAAUUCUACUAUAGAAGGGACAAAAAAUUAGAUAGAUAAAUGAACUCAUGAUAUGAGUUAAGUAUAGAUAGUAAAUACAUCCGUAACCCAAGAUAUAUAUUAAACAGUUAAGUAGAUCAUGUGAUAUAGAUAGGAAAGGAUGGAAAGGCUCAAUGUUCAGAACAUCUUAAGUCAGACACCUAGUUGUAACACCUUUCAAUUCAUGUGUCCUCUACCAAAGAAACAUGAAGAACAUGUGGCUGUCCAUUGAGCUAAUAGGAGAGCCACAGCUGUGGCCAGGAGUACUUAUCACCAUGUCUCUCUGCUAGAGCAAGUGUGUGUCAUUGCGCCUCAGUACCUUUUGUCCAUAAGCCUCUUGCAUGAGCCCUAUGUGUGGUCCUAAUGACUAUACCCCCAGUGGGGAAGGCUGAUAAGGUAUUAAGACAGACAGGACACAUGAACACCUGCACACUAGAUUCAGGUGGUAUGUCUUUCCACCCACAGGCACUCUUCCCUAAGUGCAUUAAAGUGCUCCUUCUUCUUCCCCUUGCUUCUCACUGUGUUUCAAAUUCUUCAAAUAAAAUGGUCACUCCAGCAUUUUAAUCUUGCCUACAGAAUUGACAUGGGAGUCACCUGAAAGGGCUCUUAAUGGCCAAAGCUGGAACAAUUUGAACAACAAAUACACGAGAUAGUGUUGGAUCAUAACCUAAAGGAAAAAGUAAGUAUCCAUAUAUUCAUAUUGAUAUAAAUAAAUGACUGAAUUUUUUAAAGGGGGAGAAUAAAUGAAUCUCCUGUGCAGAAUUCCAAAUAAUUUCUAUGGAUCUCUGCCCUCAAGGUGGUAAAGCAUAACUCUCCAUUCUUUAAGUGUAGACUGUGCCUAGUGACUUACAAAACUAUGAAUGAAAGAGUAAUGAAAGAGGGGUUGGGAGAAUAGAAUAACUUUACAGUGGAGAGACCUGCUACCUCAGCCAAUUGAUCAAGAUUAACAUUGACAGCAAUAAGUCACACUGAUGGUAUUAUUCUUGAUGUAUAUGAUACAAAUGGCAUUUUACCUCAGUAGUCUUCUUCCCUAAAACACAUAAUUCCAUUCUAAUCAAGAGAAAAACAUCAGACAAAUCCAACAGAGGGACAUUCUACAAAAUAACCCACCAGUACUCCUUAAAAUUCUCAGUAUCAUGAAAAACAAAGAAAGUCUCAGAAACUGUCACAACCAAGAGGAGCCUAAGGAAACAUAAUGACUAAAUGUAAUGUGACAUCCUGGAAGAGAAAAGGGUCACUAGGCAAAAACUAAGGAAGUCUAAUUAACAUAUGGACUUUAGUUAAAAGUCAGGUCUCAAUAUUGGUUAAUUAACUGUAACAAAUAUACCAUACAAUGUAAAAUGUUAAUAAUAGGGGAAACCGGUUAUGGGGUAUAUUUGAGAGUUCUCCUUCACAUUUUUUUCUAGAUAUUUUCUAUAAAUAUAUUCUAAAAUAAAAAGUUUACUAAAAAGCAAAACAAAACAUGACAAAGCCUGAAAUUUUGAGAGACUAAGCUUUUUAGUAAGCAAAAGUUACCUUCAAACAAUUUGGUUCCUACACUUGUAAAUAAAAGUGGUUUUAAAAAAAUUAAUAAUCUAUAUGCAAACUUUUAUUUUCUGACUGGGUCAAUUCACACAUAUCAUUGGCAUAGACAGAUGGUGAAUUAGAUAGUGAGGAUAGAAGAAAACAUUCUGUCACUUGACAAAUUAUUUUCUGAUGUCUGACGCCUUGUCAGCUUUCCCUACACAGCUGAGGAAGUGCAGAACUCUGGAAUUCCAACAAUCUUAAUGCCAAGUCUAUCCAAGUCAUGGAAGCAGAGAACAAACCUGAGGCUAUGAAAGUUUUUCCAAACUGCCAGCCGCAGAAUGACACACUGGCCCUUCAGAGGACAGAAUUUCAGCUCUGCAAACACAAUACUUUUACAAGGAUUAUGUAUAUGCUGAAAGUAAAACAAAGUUAAAAGUUCAGGAAAAUGAUUGUACCUCUCUGCAGAAGUAUGUGUUUAUUUGUACCUCAGUUUCUGUGUAAUCACUUAGAACUGAUGGGGAGAAUAGUGCUAUUAUUAAUCAUAACAGUUUUUGUCGUUUUUCCAUCAAUGUAAGAGUACAUAGUGAAAAUAAACUGUUGCUAAAUCAUGAAUCAUUAUGCACCACCUUGUGCUAAACAGGAUUUGAUGCAGUACACCUGAUGCGCUGGACCACCUAAGCACAUUCCUUAUAUGUGCAUGCAUGGGCUUGAGCAACCCAGAUCCAUAACAAGUAGCCCCUAUAAAGCUAACUAAUGUAACAGGAAUUUGUGCUGGCGUUGCUAGGGGAAUUACUGCUAAGAUCCCACAUUCUAAGUUCAGACUGUUGCCUAGGCCAGUCAUUUUCUCACUGUACUUACUGAGAUGGUCAGAGAAUAGGUUCCACUGCCAACCACCCUCUCAUAUAACCUCCUCCUGCCAUCCUUGGUCUACAGGAAGGGAGAUACAAAUUAGGGACCACAUUAUUGCUGAAGAGGUGCUAUUCUCGCUCUUCCUUCAGAGGAGGUUCCCCUCCCUUUUGCUGAGGGAGGAGGGCUUCAGGGAGUCAAUUGUAAAAACUGAAGGCUUUUACAAAAAAGGACAACCAGUAUUCUGUUCUCUCUUUGGAUGUCUGCUUACUGUAGACUUGGGAAAUUUCCUCUAGGCUACUGUAGCAAUGGAAAAGAAAAUUGAGAUUAAGGUGGUAGAGAACUGCCAGCCACUCACUUCUUAGUUCCAAAGAGAUAUGGAAUGGAUCCUGAAGUGUCUGGAGUUUUAAAAGUUGGCCUCAGAAAAGCAGACAUUUUGCAACUAUAGCCUUACCAAGACCACCUGGUACAUCAGAGAAUUCAGCAUGCUGUCCCUAUGAAAUCAGAACAAAGCUAUUGAAAGUCUGCAAGGCCAGAAGAAUUGCAGGGAAUUGCAUAUCACUAUGGGGACAUGUUGGUUCAUCACACAACCCAACUAUAUCCACAGAUAAUGAAUUUCAGCACAGUUACCACCAACCAAAUUGAAGGGUGAGACCUGCCCCCUGUGGGCAUCUCUUUAAACAUUUUUCUCUCCCUUUUCCACUUCCCUAAGGGAACAAAAAAGGAAGUAAAUUACCCACUGUUCUGGUCUGCCCUGGAGGAGGGAAGGGGGCUUCAAAAUUAGAAGAAAAAAUGAGAGAGAGAGAGAAACCAGAGGAUUUAAUCAUGCCUACUGGAAUGAGUAUUCCAAUAUCUGACAAUGACAAUUCCAAUAUCUGGUAAGGUGUGGAAUAUGGCCAAGGUGGUAUUAAAGAGCCACGUUCCCAGUGGGAGAGGUGAGUUUAUAGGUUUAAUUUUACACAUUUGGGAUACAUGUAUUAGAUAAAAAGUAUUUUGUGUUUAUACCCCACCACAUUGAGACUCCUUGGUAUGCAAGUAGCACCAACAAAAAUAUAAUGCCCACAGGGAUCUACAUGCAUUGAUAAUUUUCAAAAAAAUUGAAAUAAAUUUGAAGAAAAUAACAAAUGGUGGCUACACCGAUUUCCCUCUUCUAACACCACAGUUAGAAAAUAAUACUAUCUUUAAAAUUGGUUAAAUUAAUUCUAUCUAAGUACAGUAGAGCUAGUUAUCAUUUCAUUUACUAACAUGACCGUAACUUUUAUGGGAAAAGAUGCAUCUACCUAUUUUGAUUUUCUUUACAAAGUAGGGUGAAGAAUAUUCUUUAAGGCUUUUCUUUAAAAAAAAAUACAUAGCCCCAUGACAGGACAGAAAUAAAAAUUGAAUUGUAUUAGCUAUCAUUGGCCUCUUGAAAUGUCUGGGAAUCUUAUAUUACAUCUGAUCAGUGUCACUUCCAGCUCAUUGUAACUCCAGAACAGGGGAGUGACUGACAUGUCUUAUUAACUGCUGCUGUAAGGUGACAAAAAUGUAGAGUAUAAAACUCUGAAAGAAGGCAUGCUUUUUUGAGAGGCAGCCAAGUUAAGUGUACAUGAUGCCAAAUAUACAGAUAAAAACAUAAUUCCUUGAGAUAUAUUUUUGCUUACAGGCAUCUGGGUGUUUGACAGUACGUAGACAAAACAUGUGAAUGACUGUCUAAAUUCAACACCUAUUUUCCAAACAUUGUGUGUUGCUUGGAAACAGCCAAAGACCUGUAGUAUUAAGAUACAAAGUGAACUAAUGUCUCCUUUGAGGUUAGUGCCCAAUACAAAUGUGACAUCUGGCUUUUUGUACAGUCACUCAACACUGAACAACUUUUAACAGACAAUUUAUUUUUAAAAUUAGUCUGAAUACCCUAUAGCUUAGACUGAGUUCCAGAAAUGUGAAAACAAUUACAUUUUAUAUUUUCUGUAUUCCAACUUUAUAAUACAAUUAUUUUGUAUUGUUUUUAAAACAAUUUUCUGUACUAAUCUAAGAUCAAUAUUUUCCCAGAGUUGCCACCAAAAAUAACAUUUUUCUGGCUUCACUUAACAAAAUCUUAUGAAUAAAUGAGAUACAUUGGUAUCAAUAAAAUGAAGUAAUAACAUAACCUAUUUCAUAAAGUUGGUGGGAAGAAUGUAUCAGUUGAUAUAUGAUCUUCCAAAGUGGAAGUGCAUUUAGAAUUAAUAUAAUUGGUGAUUGGUUAAAAGAUACUAAUAUUUCUAAUUAGAGGAUUGAUAGUAUGUCCAAAUAUUUACCUAAUUUGAAUACUCAAAGAAAAAAAGCAAACUGAAAUGAAACUAAUAUUUUAAAAUAUAAUUCAAGAAAAUUCCCUGACAGAAGAGAAAUCUUAUGUCUACAUCCUGAAAGGCCAGGGAAAAAUCACGUACCUGGGGAAAAAGUGUCAAUUGACUCUGAGACAUUUCAGAAUAGAACUAUAAGACUUUUAAAAUAAAGAAGAGUUCUCUCUUCCAAUCCGAAAGACUAAUAAGACGGGGAAAUUUUGGGGUUGACAACAGACUUUCAGAUAGCAACAAACAGCAAUAGCACAACAGUACUUUCAAGAAACUAAAAUAGAAAGUAUGACCCAGGGAUCUUAUAUCCAACCAAGCUCUCCAUCAACUAUCAGGCAAUAUGUAUAGGAUAUUAAGUAAGUUUCUAUCCAAGGUAAUUGGGAACUUUAGCAAAAGUAAUUUUAAGAGUUAACAAAGGUGGGGUAAUGAAACAAAAAAGUUUGCAAAUGUUAAAUGCUCUAACACAGCAGAAAUAACAAAGCUUAAAAAAAACAGAUACAAGAGAAAUGGGGAAACAGAAUGUUUUUUAUCAUUGCCUAGGAAAUAGGUAGAAGUCAAAGCAUAUCAUUUAAACUCACCAAAUUAAAUAAUAAAAAGAAAAGAGAGACAGAGAAUGGUACAAAAGUUACUAGUCAAAAGAUAACCAUUAGGAUUAAAAUAUAUGCCUUCCUAAAUAUCAGAAAAAUAUUUUAAGUAAAUUAAUUUUCAAAAAAGAAAAAUUAACUUCCAGGAUCGAUGACCAAGUGGGAGGAUCUCAAGCUCACUUUGUCCCAUGGAUACACUUAGAUGAUACCCACAUCAGUGUAAAUAACCCAGAAAAUAACCCAAAGACUCUCAGAACAGGCUCUCCACAGCUAAUCAUAAAGAAGAAGCAAUAUUGAAAAGGGUAAGAAGGAGAUGCAGUUGAACCCUAACUGACCCACAAUAUUAACCACAAGAUUAACCACAGGAGGGAGGGACACCACAGGCAUGGAGAAGGAAGCAGAGCAGACCCUACAACAAGUACACCAGGCAUAGGGACCUGUGCUGAGAAGACAAAGUAAUGGAAAGCCAUCAAAUUGAACAGAGGAAAUAAGAAAGAAUUACAAAAAAUGAGAAUAAGUUAAAGGAACUCAGCAACACCAUCUAACAUAAUAACAUUCACAUUAUAGGGAUUCCAUAAGAAGAUAGAGGAAAGGGAACAGAAAAUUUAUUUGAAGAAUAAUAGGUGAAAACUUCCCUAAUCUAGGGAAGGAAACAGAAAUUUAGAUCCAAAGAUCACAGAGAGCUCCCCCAAAAUCAACCCAUAUAAAACACAUAAUAAUUAAAAUGGCAAAGGUAGUAACAACAAGAGAAUUUUAAAAGAGCAAAAAAAAAAAAAAAAA